CGAUGUCUACUAGUUGUCGGGUUUUAAUUAACUUGGUAACGCAGCUAACGCGUGAAGUAGACCGCCUGGGGAGUACGGUCGCAAGAUUAAAACUCAAAGGAAUUGACGGGGACCCGCACAAGCGGUGGAUGAUGUGGAUUAAUUCGAUGCAACGCGAAAAACCUUACCUACCCUUGACAUGUACGGAAGACCGAAGAGAUUUGGUUGUGCUCGAAAGAGAACCGUAACACAGGUGCUGCAUGGCUGUCGUCAGCUCGUGUCGUGAGAUGUUGGGUUAAGUCCCGCAACGAGCGCAACCCUUGUCAUUAGUUGCUACAUUUAGUUGAGCACUCUAAUGAGACUGCCGGUGACAAACCGGAGGAAGGUGGGGAUGACGUCAAGUCCUCAUGGCCCUUAUGGGUAGGGCUUCACACGUCAUACAAUGGUACAUACAGAGGGCCGCCAACCCGCGAGGGGGAGCUAAUCCCAGAAAGUGUAUCGUAGUCCGGAUCGCAGUCUGCAACUCGACUGCGUGAAGUUGGAAUCGCUAGUAAUCGCGGAUCAGCAUGUCGCGGUGAAUACGUUCCCGGGUCUUGUACACACCGCCCGUCACACCAUGGGAGCGGGUUUUACCAGAAGUAGGUAGCUUAACCGCAAGGAGGGCGCUUACCACGGUAGGAUUCGUGACUGGGGUGAAGUCGUAACAAGGUAGCCGUAUCGGAAGGUGC
rnacentral:rRNA from 1 species